GCAGUGGUGGCUCAGCGGUUAAGGUGCUGGGUCACUGAUCAGAAGGUCAAGGGUUCAAGCCCCAGCACUGCA